UGUGCCCUGUUUUGCAGAUGUGCCUUCCCCACGCCUCCAUGGGGGCCUUUGGCCCAGUUCUCAUUGGCAGUGUCACUUCCUGAUACUCAUUUUCCAGAAGCCUCCCAGGUGAUUAGCCAUCAUAUGUCUCCAAGAAAGGAAGUGUUCGGCACAUAAUCUGCCAAUGAUUGCUGAUGACAACACAAGUGUCAGACACUGUGUUAGCAAUGACAAGGACAUGGUCUCUGCCUUCUACCCCACUGUGCCUCUGUAUCUGCCAUGAGAAGGGCAUGCCUGGGAGCUGCUGGUCCAAGAACAAGGAGUCAGAGAACAGCCCUGAAAUCAACCCACAGCCUGAUGCAGAGUGGCCCCAACCCACAGACCUGUGAGCAAGAAAAAUAAAUGUUUGUUGCUGUA
rnacentral:lncRNA from 10 species